CAGUGGCACAAUAGGUCAGUGCAUCUGGCUAUUAACCAGAAGGUUGGUGGUUUAAGCCCACCAGGCAUGA